CACGCCGUAAACGAUGAAAACUAGAUGCUAGGGAGCAAAAGCUGUUUAGUGUCGAAGCAAACGCGAUAAGUUUUCCGCCUGGGGAGUACGGCCGCAAGGUUAAAACUCAAAGGAAUUGACGGGGGCCUGCACAAGCGGUGGAGCAUGUGGUUUAAUUCGAUGCAACGCGAAAAACCUUACCUACCCUUGACAUCCUUGGGAGCUCUGAGAGAUUAGAGUGUGCCGAAAGGAACUAAGAGACAGGUGC
rnacentral:rRNA from 1 species